UACCAGCACCCCGAGUGGUCGGGACGUUUAUUGGGCCUAAAGCAUCCGUAGCCGGUUCUACAAGUCUUCCGUUAAAUCCAACUGCUUAACAGGUGGGCUGCGGAAGAUACUAUAGAGCUAGGAGGCGGGAGAGGCAAGCGGUACUCGAUGGGUAGGGGUAAAAUCCGUUGAUCCAUUGAAGACCACCAGUGGCGAAGGCGGCUUGCCAGAACGCGCUCGACGGUGAGGGAUGAAAGCUGGGGGAGCAAACCGGG
rnacentral:rRNA from 1 species